CUAGCACUUACACUGACUUUUUGCGUUAUCUACACUGUAUACUUACAACUAAGUGUUUGAAGUGUGCAAGUAGGCGGUUUGAGACACAGCCAGUGACUUAUUCAGUAACUUACGAGAUAAACAAUGGAAAUAAUGUUAGCUACAGAGUAGCGCUUAGAAAGUAGCUAUAUAGGGAGCAUACGGUUGCUCGGUUAACCUUAAGAGCUAAAUCCGACAGGUAGCUAGCUGCUUAAGCCUUUGGUCGUGUAAGUUAGCUAACGUUAAGCAUGGAAUACCUCAGGAAACCCUUGUUUACCAUUCCCCAACACUGGACUCCUCUCAGGUGUAUUCAACCCAGAUAUUGUUCUAAAUUAGCUAACACUAGUGUGACUCCAAGAGAGAGGAAGACGACUGUAAACAAGUUCAAGAGCCAGAUAUCCUCCGGUCCAAGUUUUCAGGAUUUCAUCAAAGGAGUGUCCGUUAAUAAGACCUAUGCUGCAGAUGAAGAGUACUAUGACGAACAUAGUUAUCUUUCUCGGGACUUGGAGAUGGGGAAUUCAAGGAAAGUGUAUUUUGAAACCUAUGGAUGUCAAAUGAAUGUAAACGACACAGAGAUAGCCUGGUCCAUACUACAGAGGAAGGGAUAUCGACGCACAUCUGACUUAAGUGAGGCAGACGUUGUCCUUCUGGUAACAUGCUCCAUAAGAGAAAAAGCUGAACAAACUAUUUGGAAUAGACUACAGCAACUAACUGCUAUGAAGAAGAGACGGUUAAAGACCCGCACACCAAUGAAAAUUGGGAUUUUAGGAUGCAUGGCAGAAAGGCUAAAGACAGAGCUUUUGGAGCGGGAGAAGCUUGUAGACGUUCUUGCUGGUCCAGACGCCUACCGGGACCUUCCUCGCCUGUUGACCGUAGCUGACGGAGGUCAUCAGGCAAGCAACGUGCUGCUGUCGUUAGAGGAGACCUACGCUGACAUCAUGCCUGUACACCAUGCUCCUCAUGGAUACAGCGCUUUUGUGUCCAUCAUGCGAGGCUGUGACAACAUGUGUAGUUACUGCAUCGUUCCCUUCACCCGAGGCAAAGAGAGGAGUCGACCUGUCAGCUCCAUACUUGACGAAGUUCGUGUGCUCUCUGAUCAGGGUGUGAAGGAGGUGACUUUGCUGGGUCAGAACGUCAACAGCUACAGAGACACUUCAGAAGAACAGUUCUGUGGCUCCGACGUGACCAAGCUCAGCCAGGGGUUUAAGACCGUCUACAGGACCAAACAGGGAGGUCUGCGCUUCUCCGACCUACUGGACCGAGUGUCCCGCAUCGAUCCCGACAUGAGGAUCCGAUUCACCUCGCCCCAUCCCAAGGAUUUUCCCGAUGAGGUUUUGCAUCUGAUUGCGGAGCGAGGGAACAUUUGUAAGCAGAUCCACCUUCCGGCCCAAAGUGGCAGCAGCGCGGUCCUCAAAGCAAUGCGCCGUGGCUACACGAGAGAGGCCUAUCUUGAUCUUGUGAAGAACAUCAAGAGAAUUAUCCCAGAGGUGAGUCUCAGCAGCGACUUCAUCUCAGGCUUCUGUGGUGAAACAGAGGACGACCAGCAGCAGACUCUGUCUCUGAUCAGAGAGGUGGGCUACAAUGUGGGAUUCCUGUUCGCCUACAGUAUGAGAAAGAAAACCCACGCCUUCCAUCGGCUACAAGAUGACGUGCCAGCUGAGGUGAAGCAGCAGAGGCUGGAGGAGUGUAUCGGUGUAUUCAGAGAGGAAGCUGCACGGGUCAACGCUGCUCUCAUCGGCAGCACGCAGCUUGUCCUGGUGGAGGGAGAAAGUAAAAGAUCUGCCAAGGACUUGUGUGGGAGAACCGAUGGCAAUAUGAGAGUGAUUUUCCCCAAAGAGGAUGUUGCUGUCCAGCCUGCAGAAUCCAACACUGCAUCAGUCAACGCUGGCGACUACCUGCUGGUGAAGAUAUUGUCGGCCAACUCCCAGAGCCUGAAAGGCCGAGCCCUUAGUCACAGCUCCCUGAGAGGCACAGCGCAACACUACGAGACCCUGCCAAGGCACCAGCUUGGUGAACGUGUGGCCUCAGACACAACCAUGAUUGAAACAUGCCCUUGAUUGACACAGCUCAAGUCUACAGAAGAAUUUGACACUGUGGGUGAUGACACCAUGGAAUAUUCAAUCUCUGCAUACUGGUCCACCUUGGCUACAACUGCAGUAAGUUUCCCUGCAGAUGGAUGAAGGCGUUACCAAUGGACAGUCUGACACCAGUCCCUGGCACCAAAUCCAGCGCAGACUUCGGUAAUCCCACAUCCACUAUUUGCAUACUGGAAGAGACAGCGUGCAUGUUUGUAAAGGCACUUGGGAUCCCAGUUUGCUAUAUCAUUUACAGCGGUGUUGGAUAAAAACUGGUGCAUUACUUUGACAGGCUGUACUCGACUUUGCCAAUGGGAGACACCUCCUGCGACCCUGAAAUAUCUGGGACUUUGAUGGUCUUGAGUUUCUGCAGGAUCGAAGUCAUCCCCAGUUGUCUGCCUAACAAAAUGCAAGGAAAUGUGAUGAUGAAAUUCUGGAGGCGUCGGUGCUUUUCCAAAUGAAAGAGUACAAAUGUGCUGCACACUUACCAUAUUCCAGGCCUUUUUCUGUUAGCUUGACCUCUACUCCAGGAUUGGUGCCUAAAGUCAUAGGGAUUAAGGCCACCAGAGCCAGCCAACAGCACAGGAACAUCUUGACUGUUGGGAGAUAAAAAGGACAAUGUGGGUGACAUGUUUGCUGUUCUGCAUGGAAUUUCUAGGAAGCACGAAGCUUCCUCUUUUAGAGCAGCUUAGCUUUUCUUUGUAUGAUUGGUUUCGUAUUUACUGAUAUAUCCCAUUCAUAGGAGACAAUUCUAAUCGUACAUUGCUUAGGUCAGUGGCUUCUUCUUAAAGCACAGCCCCUUCUUUUUUAAAUAACUAUCAACAUUUUCUUACUCUUCAUGAUCAAGACAAUCUAAAAUAUAGUUUGCAUGUAUAGCGCUUUAGUCAUUUUUCAAAUAAUGUUAAUGUGAAAUAAAAAGUUAGGUCAAAUUUGUGGAAGAUUCUUUACUUCAAGUAAAUAGACCAAUAUAUUAAAGUAAAAAUACUUCAUCACAAUGCUCUGCAUCCAAAAUCCUACGUAGGUUAAAAGUACAUUAGUAUUAUCAACAAAAUAUACUUCUGGUACUAUAUUUCAUUUCAUUUUUUUGUAUUUUUACUGAAGUAAAAAUACAAAAAAAUUGUCCUGUGACUAGCAUAUAUGAUAACAAUUUAUUAACAUCUGAAGUGUGACAAGGGCCCCACACAGUUUCCUAGAUGUCACAAGCCAUAUAGUUUGGAAACCACUGAUUUCACUUUUAAAAAUAUAUUGUAUUUAAUAAGCUUAUCAUAUGUUUUUAAAUCUAUAAAUCUUAAUCUGAAAAGUAACUCCACUGCAAAUACAUUUUAUGUAUUAAAAAAUUUAGUAUUUAAUUUUUUCCCUUUGAAUGUGGUGCAGGAGAAGUAUACAGUAGCAAAAAAAAAUAUGGCAAAAAUCAAUUAAUGAUCAAACUAAAUUGUACUAAAUGUACUUUCCACCCCAGCCUUGGGUUGGGGGGGGGCUGUGAAAGAGCUGACUAUCAGAGUGCUGUAGAGGAAACCACAUGACCCCUGAUAAGUCAGCAGGCAAGCCAGACUUUAUUAAAUUAGGCUGAAAAUAAAGGCCCAGUCCUCCAUUUUUGUCCAUUUUGAAUAGGGAUAUUUUAAUCCGUGUGGAAAGAUUUUACACAUCUAAUAUUCACUUUUUGGAACAAUCUGGUCUAUUGCAUUUCAAGAUACAAUUGCAAUAUUUCAGUGUCAGCAAAUGAUAUGGCUUGAACAUGCUGUUUUUUUGUUGUUUUUUUUACAAUCAAGAGCUCUAUCAGUUAAGGAAGAAAGAACAAUUUUAACAAUAUUGUGCCUUUUUUUGUGCCUGUGACGUUGCUUGAACUUUAGUAUGUUGCAUAUUCAAAUGAACAGCUUUAGGCUCUGAACAUGUUCGUGAGCAGACUGAAUGAUAUAGAGAGACUGAACUGACAGAAUGCGAAGCAUGUGACUACCAAUGGAAGUUUCCAUGUGGGUCAGAAGAGUAGAUGGAAAAGGUGCGCUUUCAUCAACAACAAAAAUAAAAAACUGUGUAAACAUGGUAUAUAAAAGA